rnacentral:rRNA from 1 species
CGCCUGGAGGUGGGGAGUAACUAGUCGAAAGACUAGCUAAUACCGCAUACGAUCUACGGAUGAAAGUGGGGGAUCGCAAGACCUCAUGCUCGUGGAGCGGCCGAUAUCUGAUUAGCUAGUUGGUGGGGUAAAGGCCUACCAAGGCAUCGAUCAGUAGCUGGUCUGAGAGGACGACCAGCCACACUGGGACUGAGACACGGCCCAG